CCUCUCUCUUCAGUGGGACGUCUCCUCACCCCUCCUCAGGACAGUCCCUCCCUCCUCAGUGGGACCUUUCCUUCUCUCCUCACGACAGUCCCUCCUUCCCUAGGAGAGCCCACCUCUCCUCAAGUGGUACCCCUCCUCUCCUCAGGACAGCCCCUCCCUCCUCAGUGGGGCCUCUCCUUUGGACAGACCUCCCUCUCUUCCCUUUGGGACUUUUCCUUCUCUCCUAAGGACAGUCCCUCCCUCCGCCCCAGGAGAGCCCCGCCCCUCGCGACUGCUCCAUCCGACCGUUAACGGUAGCAAUGGCUGCUUUGCGGGCUCUGAUGCGGCUGCAGCUCGUGAGCGGGGCCUCGCGGCGGGGGAGCACUUUCAUCAGCUCUCUCCGCUCGAGGCGGCCCGCCGUGCUGGCGGCUGCCGGAGGGGCGGCGGUGGCUUCGUGUUGUUGUUGUUAUUACUAUUAUCGUCAUUCUUCAUCUUCGCCGGAGUCGGGGAGCGCGACCAGGCGGGAGCGGCGGUACAGACUGGGCCUCCCCAGCGGGGAUGUGUUUGCUCCGCUCUCUGUACCGACUGUAGAAGCUACCGGAAGGGCCAAGAAUGUAGUAGAAGAAUCUGAUAUUGAAGAUGUGGAACUAUACGUUUCUUCCCAAGAACAAAGAUUUAGGCUGUUUACAUCACUGGAGCAUGAAGGUCAGCUAUAUAUGACUCCACGAGACUUUAUUGAAUCUGUUACUACAGAUGAACCAAGAGGUUUUAGACCUCGGAAAUCACUUUCAAAACAGGAAUUGGAAAACAUGCUUGCAGAAACACCUCCAGUAUGGAAAGGCUCUUCAAGACUUUUUCGAACUUUACAUGAUAGAGGUCUGAUUGCCUACACAGAAUAUUUGUUUCUUUUGUGCAUACUAACAAAACCUCAUGCAGGUUUUAAAAUAGCUUUCAACAUGUUUGAUACUGAUGGCAAUGAAAUGGUGGACAAGAAGGAGUUCUUAGUGCUUCAGGAAAUCUUUAGAAAGAAAAAUGAGAAACGAGGACGAAGAGGUGAUGAUGAGGAGAAGUCUGCACAGGUGAAUCUGCAACUUUUUGGUUAUCAAUAUGCUCCUCCUCACAGUGUGGUAAAUAAAGAUACCCCAAAUCAAACCACAGACCGAAGUUACUGGGAUACAUUAAGACGUAACACCAGUCAAGCACUGUUUUCAGACCUUGCAGAGCGUGCAGAGGAAAAUUUCUUUGUAGAUACUACAUUACUUGUGCAUUUUUUUGGAAGGAGAGGCAAAGCGGAGCUGAAUUUUGAUGAUUUUUACAAGUUCAUGGAUAAUAUUCAGACUGAAAUUUUGGAAACUGAAUUCCUUUCAUACUCCAAAGGCAUGACCACAAUUAGUGAAGAAGAUUUUGCUCGUAUUCUGCUACGUUUUACAAAUGUAGACAACACAAGUACUUAUCUGGAGUCAGUUCGUCAAAGGAUUCCUGAAGAGAAGGGCAUCACUUUUGAUGAAUUCAGAUCUUUCUUUCAAUUCCUGAAUAACUUGGAGGACUUUGCCAUUGCAAUGCAGAUGUAUAAUUUUGCAAAUCGAUCAAUUGGGCAAGAUGAGUUUAAGCGUGCUGUAUAUGUGGCUACAGACCUGAAGCUUUCUUCACACUUGGUAAAUACAGUCUUCAAGAUCUUUGAUGUGGACAAAGAUGAUCAACUAAGUUACAAAGAAUUCAUUGGUGUUAUGAAAGAUCGACUGCACAGAGGAUUUAGGGGCUACAAGUCUACACAGGGAUAUCCCAGUUUCAAAGUUUGCCUGAAGAAAGAAUUUGUCACCAGAUAAGAAUGGAGAGGAGUUGAAGUACACCCCAUCGUGCAUAUUUAUGGACCCCAGAGAUGGUCAAGUGCCUGACUGGAAAGGUUACUGCAAACCUACAUGAAAGGAAAUGAAUAUUUUUUGAACAAAUUUGAAGGAAAUGUAAAGCAUGCUACUUCUGAUUUCUGGAAUGUUAUCAUAAAAACCCCAAUUUAAGGUCUAAUGUUAACUGGUAAGGUAGAUUUAUGCAAAAAAAGUUAACCUUAUUUGAUUAAUAGGAAUAUUACUGCAUUAUAGUAACUUUUAUUCACUGCUCAAAUUGUUCUACUUUGUAUGUUGAUGUGAAUGUUGUCUUAAAUUAAUAGAACUGACAAGCACAUGUGAUUUUUCUGUAUAUUAUGCCUUGCUUCACAGCUGAAAAUCUUUACAGUGCAGGAUAUGGAAUGAGUAGUCAAGAAAAAUAAUGUGAUAAACUCUUACACGUGGACGUGAGCACCAUAUCCACUCAUCACUCGACUUUGAUGUUUGCAGCUAACAUAAUAUAUUAAAAGUAUAGACAAAAUUGCUUUUGAACAUUAAUCUCAAGAUGUAUUUGGUUCGUGAUGGGAAAAGUAGACCUACAAACUAUUAGAAACAUUUAAUUUUAUGUUUUUCAAUACAAAUUAUUUAUUAUUCUAUCUGUAGAGAUAUUUAUAGAGAAGCUAGAUAAGUAUAGGAAUGAAUAAAGAGGAGGAUUUAUUUAUAGGUUUUGAUGAAGAGGAAUGAGAAGAUCGUCAUAUGAAGAACAAAUACUGCUAGACCAGCUGGGCUGAAUAGCCUGUUUUUGUGUGGUGGACUGUAAUUCUACACAAUUUAUGUAAACUCAAAUCAUGAAAGCAAUGAAAUGUUUGAAAAUUACUUUUAGAGAAUAUUGACAAAUCACUGGUUCCUUAUCAUUUAAAGCUGUCAGUGUGUACUAUUUCAGUUAAUUCUUAAAACAAUUGUGUUGAUAUCUCCUCAAAGCAAGGUUCACUUUUAUUUUAUUAUCUUUAUUCUAUAAUAUGCUGCAUUCCAUUUACUAUUCACAUAUUUAUUGUAUUAGGAUAGGGAUUGUUUUGCAUUUCAUUUGAUGUGUACUUCAAAUGAAUAUACUUUUCAUAUAAUAAGCAUUUAAAUGUAAUGUUCUAAUUCAGAAUUGGCUACUGCAGCUGUCACAGUUACAAUUACAGUUGUUACAUCAAUGAUUCAUAAUUCAGUGUCUGCAAAAUCAACUUUUAUAGCUUCAGUUACAUGUUAGAAUCAAGCAAUAUAUUCUUAUUUUCAAAAAGAUAAAUAACUCAAUUAUUUGCAGAAUAUAACGUAUUGAUUUAAAAACAAUAAUAAAGCUAUUGAGAGCAAGUAUAUUUUGUUAUA